AACAACCUCAUUGAUUAGAAGGAAUUCCUUCUGAUUGAUGAGGUUGUUACCCUCAUUUACCAGAAAGGAUUGCUUCCGGUCGAUGGGGUAUAACAUCCUCAUCAAUCGGAAGGGAUUCCUUCCAGUCAAUGAGGUUGUU
rnacentral:miRNA from 1 species